AUUGCACGCUGGCGGCAGGCCUAACACAUGCAAGUCGAGCGGAGCGGCGGACGGGUGAGUAAUGCCUAGGAAUCUGCCUGGUAGUGGGGGAUAACGUCCGGAAACGGGCGCUAAUACCGCAUACUAUCAGAUGAGCCUAGGUCGGAUGAGCUAGGUGGGGGGGUAAAGGCCUACCAGGGCGACGAUCCGUAACUGGUCUGAGAGGAGGAUCAGUCACACUGUAACCGAGACACGGUCCCGAUCCCUACGGUCGGUAUCAGUGGGGAAUAUUGGACAAUGGGCGAAAGCCUGAUCCAGCCAUGCCGCGUGUGUGAAGAAGUUCUUCGGAUUGUAAAGCACUUGAAGUUGGGAGGCGUUACCAACAGAAUAAGCACCGGCUAACUUCGUGCCAGCAGCCGCGGUAAUAC
rnacentral:rRNA from 1 species